rnacentral:rRNA from 1 species
UGGGGAAUAUUGCACAAUGGGGGAAACCCUGAUGCAGCGACGCCGCGUGAGCGAAGAAGGCUUUCGAGUCGUAAAGCUCUGUCCUAUGAGAAGAUAAUGACGGUAUCAUAGGAGGAAGCCCUGGCUAAAUACGUGCCAGCAGCCGCGGUAAUACGUAUGGGGCGAGCGUUGUCCGGAAUUAUUGGGCGUAAAGGGUACGUAGGCGGUUUUUUAAGUCAGGUGUCAAAGCGUGGAGCUUAACUCCAUUAAGCACUUGAAACUGAAAGACUUGAGUGAAGGAGAGGAAAGUGGAAUUCCUAGUGUAGCGGUGAAAUGCGUAGAUAUUAGGAGGAAUACCGGUGGCGAAGGCGGCCUUCUGGGCCAUAACUGACGCUGAGGAGCGAAAGCUAGGGGAGCGAACAGG